rnacentral:rRNA from 1 species
UACGAAGGGGGCUAGCGUUGUUCGGAGUUACUGGGCGUAAAGGGCUCGUAGGCGGUUUGUCGCGUCGGGAGUGAAAUCCACUGGCUUAACUGGUGGCUUGCUUUCGAUACGGGCAGGCUAGAGUUCGGCAGGGGAGACUGGAAUUCCUGGUGUAGCGGUGAAAUGCGCAGAUAUCAGGAGGAACACCGGUGGCGAAGGCGGCCAUCUGGACGGAUACUGACGCUGAGACGCGAAAGCGUGGGUAGCAAACAGG